GACGAACGCUGGCGGCGUGCCUAAUACAUGCAAGUAGAACGCUGAAGGAGGAGCUUGCUCUUCUGGAUGAGUUGCGAACGGGUGAGUAACGCGUAGGUAACCUGCCUGGUAGCGGGGGAUAACUAUUGGAAACGAUAGCUAAUACCGCAUAACAGUAGAUGUUGCAUGACAUUUGCUUAAAAGGUGCAAUCGCACCACUACCAGAUGGACCUGCGUUGUAUUAGCUAGUUGGUGGGGUAACGGCUCACCAAGGCGACGAUACAUAGCCGACCUGAGAGGGUGAUCGGCCACACUGGGACUGAGACACGGCCCAGACUCCUACGGGAGGCAGCAGUAGGGAAUCUUCGGCAAUGGACGGAAGUCUGACCGAGCAACGCCGCGUGAGUGAAGAAGGUUUUCGGAUCGUAAAGCUCUGUUGUAAGAGAAGAACGAGUGUGAGAGUGGAAAGUUCACACUGUGACGGUAUCUUACCAGAAAGGGACGGCUAACUACGUG
rnacentral:rRNA from 1 species